GUGUCGGCGCAGCUGCUAUAUUAGCCUAAUGGUCCUGUUUUCACACACACCACACAGCUGGAGGCAGGAGCUAAACUACUACGGGCCGGUUAAAAGAUUAAGGGUUUGUUUGGUUUGUGCUGGACCCGAGCCUCCGUCCGUCGACACCUUUGUCCCACGUUUGAGCGUUAAUGCCGCGCGCCGUCACCUCAGAAGAGAAAACAGUUCUGUUUGAUCGCGCAGAACAACAGCUUUUUGAACCACGGUCCCGCCCAAGAACUUUUAACUGGUAAAUUCCACUCCGCUGUUGCCUCUGACCGUGACCUCCUGCUUAAUCUAGCCCCGUUGGUUAGGUUGCUUUUGGCAGGUUGUUUUCAGACGUCCGGUUUUCAGAAGCAUAAUUGAGGCCUAAAUCUGGAGCCAUACAUACCGACUCUGUCUUUGCUGUCAUUAAGGAUGUCUGAGUGUUGCACUUGAUUUAUCGAUUAAUUGAAAUCGGGCAUCUGUUGAACAUUUCUUGCUUCAUUAACGGUGGGUACACACCAGCUAGCUGCAA